rnacentral:rRNA from 1 species
CCUUGUACACACCGCCCGUCACACCAUGGGAGUUGGCUCAACCUUAAGCCGUGACCCUAACCGCAAGGAAGGGAGCGUCCACGGUGGGGCUGAUGACUGGGGUG